UGCCACUCUUAACGGGGUGGCUUUUCAGAAGUGUAAAAAGCUUCUGGAAUAAGGGCUGGGCAAGACCGGUGCCAGCCGCCGCGGUAACACCGGCAGCUCAAGUGGUAGCCGCUUUUAUUGGGCCUAAAGCGUCCGUAGCCGGUCUGAUAAGUCUCUGGUGAAAUCCCACAGCUUAACUGUGGGAAUUGCUGGAGAUACUAUCAUGACUCGAGGUCGGGAGAGGCUGGAGGUACUCCCAGGGUAGGGGUGAAGUCCUGUAAUCCUGGGAGGACCACCUGUGGCGAAGGCGUCCAGCUGGAACGAACCUGACGGUGAGGGACGAAAGCCAGGGGCGCGAACCGGAUUAGAUACCCGGGUAGUCCUGGCCGUAAACGAUGUGGACUUGGUGUUGAGAUGGCUUCGAGCUGCCCCAGUGCCGAAGGGAAGCUGUUAAGUCCACCGCCUGGGAAGUACGGCCGCA
rnacentral:rRNA from 1 species